AUGAAAUGUUGUUAUCCUUAUUGUAUGAGUAAAGGGCAGCAGAACUGUUCUUAGCAUGCUUUGAUUGAGGGGGUCAUCCUAACCUAAAUUUCACUUGCUAAGCAGGGGGUAGGUGUAGCGGGGUAGUCACCUGCUCCUAUCCUGGAGGGCUGGGGCUAUAAACUGGGCUGAUUGGGGAAGUGGCUGCAGCUGGCCUGUAUAAGAAGACCAGGGCAGUUAGGAGUAGACUCUUUCUCUGCCUUAAGAGGGAGAAGGGCCUGGCUUCUGGGGAGCAUACCUGGGAACUUGAGGUGGGGCACGUUGGGGGAAGGUGAGAGGAGCUGGGGAGCUCCUGCCUGGAAACCCCCUAGGCUGCAGGGCCUAAACAGGUUCUGGGGCUGCAAAGGGGCAGCCCACGGGUAGGCAGAGGCAGCAGGUCCAACUGCCCCUUUGCCUGUGAUGAGUGGCUUAUAUACUGCAGUCAGCCUCAGUGAAUCGGGGCUAGAGAGUGACUGGACAGUAGGCAAAGACUGAGAGGAACCACUGGAUAUUCAACCUGACGCUUGUUGCUGCCGACUCCACCUGGCAGAAGGGUUACACUUGUCCUCCCAAACUCAUGGGCAGAUGGCUACAUGCCUGGCAUAGGCAGAAACCCUUCAUCCCACUUGUGCUCCUCUGCAGAGGUUCCAGUGGGAAGUACCAAUGCUGUGAAAGGAGUGGAAUUCCUCAGAUGAACUCUGGAUAAUUGAGCCAAAAUGUCUCUUGGACAUUGCUGCAUGGCCUCUCUGCAUCCUCUACCCCCUAACUCUUAACAUACACUGUGCCUUAUGAGCCUCUAUAUAGCCUUCAAUUUGUUUAGGAGUUUGUUCCUCAC